UUUCUUUUUCUUUUAUAUUAUUUUUUUUUCUAAUUGCUUAACUGGAGAGGACAAUUUCACUGUAUUACUUUCGAGUAAAGAGGAUGAUGCAAUUUACUAAGUAUGUGACGAAAAUCUGCAGUCAUUCAAGUCAACUAAAGUGUAAUCAUUUUGAGCCGAUCAUGAAUUGCAAGAAGGGGAAUAUAGAAUAUCACUAUGAUAGUGACGAAAAUGGCACUCCUCAGAUAAAGAAAUUGAAAUCUACUUCGUGCAAAAGAAAUGUUCCGUAAGAAUUAUUAAACGAUGAGAAAUAGUCAUCGUAGUUGGUACUGUGUGAAAAGAAUGCAAGGAGAGGCUAUUGCAAACUCGGUAAUUGUGAGAUAGUUAAUAGCUUUAGCAAUAGAGAAUGACAAAAACAAAUGUAAAAAGAAAUAAAAAACUGAUGACAGUUAAGAAUGUUAUUCGUUGUUUCAUUUACUAAUAAACUAUGUAAAGAGUA